rnacentral:lncRNA from 1 species
UCGAUUUAACCGACUUCGGAGAGGAAGCCGUCGUUCACGUCGAGGAUGAACCAGUGAUUGGAGAGUUUCACCAAGAUCCAGAUUCAAAUUCAUCUGGUGAUGAUGACUCGGAAACAGACUAGCAUCCAAUUCCGAGGAAGAUAAGGGUUUCCUCGGAAUUUCCUCAGAAUUCCGAGGAAAUAGGGUUUUUAAACCGAAAACAACGUUUUGCAGUUUGAAUAACACUUAUAUAACCCUUAUUAAGUGUCUUAGAC